GGAGGUCGGUCAGGACAAGCCGGUGGACACAGGUGGGGCGGUGGUCGCAGGGCAGGCGAUGCCCUCAGAGCUACUUGGCCAGGCAGCUCCUCUCCUGGGCU